GACGAACGCUGGCGGCGUGCUUAACACAUGCAAGUCGAACGGAAAGGCCCUUCUUUUGUUGGUUGCUCGAGUGGCGAACGGGUGAGUAACACUUGAGUAACCUGCCCUUUACUUUUGGAUAACUUCAGGAAACUGGGGCUAAUACCGGAUAUCAUCUCCUGCUGCAUGGUGUGGGUUGGAAAGUUUGGGCGGUUGGGGAUGGACUCGGGGUUUAUCAGCUUGUUGGUGGGGGAGUGGCUUACCAAGUCUUUGACGGGUAGCCGGCCGGAGCGGGUGACCGGCAAAAUUGGGACUGAGAUACGGCCCAGAUUCCAACGGGGGGAAGAAGUGGGGAAAAUUGACAAAUGGGCGGAAGCCUGAUGCAGAAACGCGGCGGGCGGAAUGACGGCCUUGGGGUUGAAAACCGCUUUAGCAUGUGACGAAGCGUGAGUGACGGUAACGGGUAAAGAAGCACCGGCUAACUACGUG
rnacentral:rRNA from 1 species